rnacentral:lncRNA from 1 species
GUAAGCAUGAGAUUGAUGGGGUAUUUGUUAAUUAUCUGUGCAAGUGCAAGUGCAUGUAACCCUAAACAAAAAAAGAAAGAAAGAAAGAGGAAAUGUAAUGGAAAAGGUGUUCUUCUGGUUCAGCCAAUAAGCAACGAAAGAAAGAAAGAAAGAAGUGGAGGUGCUGAUGGUACAAUAUUAAAGCAGUAAAACACGAAUAUGAAAAUUGUUACAUCAUUG